rnacentral:sRNA from 1 species
CGAUUCGAGCGCAGCGAGAAAGCGUUGCCGCAGGCAACGACCCGAAGGGCGAAGCGCGCAGCGCUGAGUAAUCCUUCCCCCAUCACCA